rnacentral:rRNA from 1 species
CGUAGGGCGCAAGCGUUGUCCGGAAUUAUUGGGCGUAAAGAGCUCGUAGGCGGUUUGUCGCGUCUGGUGUGAAAACUCGAGGCUCAACCUCGAGCUUGCAUCGGGUACGGGCAGACUAGAGUGCGGUAGGGGAGACUGGAAUUCCUGGUGUAGCGGUGGAAUGCGCAGAUAUCAGGAGGAACACCGAUGGCGAAGGCAGGUCUCUGGGCCGCAACUGACGCUGAGGAGCGAAAGCAUGGGGAGCGAACAGGAUUAGAUACCCUGGUAGUCCAUGCCGUAAACGUUGGGCACUAGGUGUGGGGCUCAUUCCACGAGUUCCGUGCCGCAGCAAACGCAUUAAGUGCCCCGCCUGGGGAGUACGGCCGCAAGGCUAAAACUCAAA